rnacentral:lncRNA from 1 species
AAUAAGACAUUAUCUUGAGUGCACAUCGUACUUUUAUUCAGAAAGUGAGGAUUUCGAAUUGGAAAAAGAUGAAAGAUAUGUCCAACCACCUCAAUCAAGUUCUUCUGAUUCUGAUGACUAUUCUGAUGUUUUUGACAAGCCUGUCGAAAUACCAGGAUGCAAUCAAGUGACUCAAUUCCUGUCUUCUUCAUAAAUCAACCUACUUAUUAGAAGAGUCAAUAUAUCUUGGCAAGGAUAACACAAUCUGGCACAAACAAAUAGGAAAUGGAGAAAUUUCAGCCCGUUUUACCCAAGAAAACAUUUUGAAGGAAGUCUCAUCGUUUGCAAAACGUAACAUCAUUACAGAUUAAACAUUUUCAGCUUUUGAACUCUUGAUCGAUAAUUAUAUUAUUGAUCACAUUGUAAAAUGUACAAUAGGUGAGGCUCGUUCAAAACUUAAGAAUGAUGUAUGGACAACCAGCAAACGAGAAAUACUCCAAUUGAUUGCAAUAAUGUAUGCAAGAGGAAUAUUAGGCAAAGGGCAGCCGACAGAAGUCAUUUGGUCAAAAAAAUUGGGGAUGAAUCUCCUUAGGAAUACUAUCCCUCGCAACAGAUAUAAGAAAUUAUUGAUAUAUAUAUCCCCUUUGAUAUUCGUUCCACAAGAUCACAAAGACUUCAAAACGACAAGUUCGCCUUGAUUUCAAUGGUAUGGGAUCAAUUUGUCGAAAAUUGUAAGUCAUCAUACAGGCCAGGUGAAAAUAUUACCAUUGAUGAUCAAUUAUUCCCAACAAAAGCUAAAUAUCCAUUUACCCAAUAUAUGGCUAAAAAAACCACAUAAAUUUGGUAUAAAAUUUUGGUUAGGAGUUGAUGCAUCGUCCCAAUACUUGGUAAAUGGAUUUCCUUACUUGGGAAAGAUUCUCAAAGACCAGCAAAUAAAUCAUAAUAUGUCGUAAUGGAGCUAAUGGAACCCUAUUUGGGUAAAGGGAGGAAUGUUACAACAGAUAAUUUAUUUACGUCAUUGUCUCUUGCAAAUGAACUUCAGAAAUAUAGGACGACUAUUUUAGGAAAUAUGAAUUGUGCUCGCAAAGAAAUACCUCCUGAACUAAUCGCUACUAAACAAGCACUAUUUUCAAGCUUAAUCUUUGUAAAUAGUGGCAAAACAUUGACUUCUUAUCAAGA